rnacentral:rRNA from 1 species
AGUGAACGCUGGCGGUAGGCCUAACACAUGCAAGUCGAACGGCAGCACAGUAAGAGCUUGCUCUUACGGGUGGCGAGUGGCGGACGGGUGAGGAAUACAUCGGAAUCUACUUUUUCGUGGGGGAUAACGUAGGGAAACUUACGCUAAUACCGCAUACGACCUACGGGUGAAAGCAGGGGAUCUUCGGACCUUGCGCGAUUGAAUGAGCCGAUGUCGGAUUAGCUAGUUGGCGGGGUAAAGGCCCACCAAGGCGACGAUCCGUAGCUGGUCUGAGAGGAUGAUCAGCCACACUGGAACUGAGACACGGUCCAGACUCCUACGGGAGGCAGCAGUGGGGAAUAUUGGACAAUGGGCGCAAGCCUGAUCCAGCCAUACCGCGUGGGUGAAGAAGGCCUUUGGGUUGUAAAGCCCUUUUGUUGGGAAAGAAAAGCAGCAGGUUAAUACCCCGCUGUUCUGACGGUACCCAAAGAAUAAGCACCGGCUAACUUCGUA